GGGGAUGACAGGCUUCGACGGAGGAGGCUGAUCCCGAAUUGCGAGUCGAGAGGCGCCGAUGCUCGUAAACUCAGCGCAAAAAAACAAGUGCCAAACGCACACCUUACGCUGCUAUGCCCCUCGCUGCUUAAGCGAUAGCAUAGUGGUUGGUCUCAAAGAGACCCGUCCACCUUUACCCAACUUCAUCGGGUCAUAGGACUGGGCGACGCAAAGAUGAAGUGCCACAUGGUAAUGCCACUAACUGUGUGAAAGAGGGCUUUCGGGUCCAAGUGGCUGACCAGAGAGAUUUCCUGUCAAUUGAGAACUCUCUGGUGACGAUCAUCAAUUGACUACGCUCGUAGAUAUUCGAGGCUCGAAUUUUUCGGACGCGGGUUCGAUUCCCGCCAUCUCCACAA
rnacentral:tmRNA from 1 species